CCUACGGGAGGCAGCAGUGAGGAAUAUUGGUCAAUGGACGAGAGUCUGAACCAGCCAAGUAGCGUGAAGGAUGACUGCCCUAUGGGUUGUAAACUUCUUUUAUAUGGGAAUAAAAUGUUCCACGUGUGGGAGUUUGUAUGUACCAUAUGAAUAAGGAUCGGCUAACUCCGUGCCAGCAGCCGCGGUAAUACGGAGGAUCCGAGCGUUAUCCGGAGUUAUUGGGUGUAAAGGGAGCGUAGGUGGAUUGUUAAGUCAGUUGUGAAAGUUUGCGGCUCAACCGUAAAAUUGCAGUUGAAACUGGCAGUCUUGAGUACAGUAGAGGUGGGCGGAAGUCGUGGUGUAGCGGUGAAAUGCUUAGAUAUCACGAAGAACUCCGAUUGCGAAGGCAGCUCACUGGACUGCAACUGACACUGAGGCUCGAAAGUGUGGGUAUCAAACAGGAUUAGAUACCCUAGUAGUC
rnacentral:rRNA from 1 species